rnacentral:lncRNA from 1 species
GCAUGGCUUGACAAGCGGUGCCAUGUCCGCACCUGGGAUCCAAACCAGUGGACCCUGGCCUGCCAAAGCAGAACGUGCGAACUUAACUGCUGCACCACCUGGCCAGCCCCCAGACAUCAAUAUUUUUUUAAGUUCCUAAGAUGAUUCCAAUGAACAGCCAGGAUUGGAAGCUUACAGGUUUUCCAGAAGCCAAUGAUUUUUAUAUGCAUGGGCAUCACCUGGGAAGAAUCCUUAAUGUGCCACUCCCCAAGCCCCGCCUGCCAGUUGAAGCCCCUGCUGUUAUUCAAUUAAGCCUGGAUACCAGACCAGAGGCUCCUGGACGGAGAGUCCCCAGCCCAGAUCUCCUGUGGGCACAGCACACAGCUCACACAGGCAGAGCGGAGCGACUAACAGUUGGAGUUAGAGCUUUCUGGUUCACCCUGCACCGCAGGCAAAAAGCAAUGUUCCUUUGGAUUUGCACACUGUCUGGAUGGAGUGAAUCAUUCGCAGUCUCACAAGGCACAGUCUUUCCCAUGGGUCUUGUGAGACAAGGAACAUUCGAGAAGAGGACAGUAUGAGUUACUGGGAGAAUCAACUAAGAAAUGUAAGUGCCAAAUACACGGGGACUACAGAUGACAUCAUUGAAAUAAUGCUUUUAUCUUUGGGACAUUUAAUCUUGUAAAUGACUGUUUUUCUCUUUGUUUUGCCUCUGGAAUGUUUACAGACCAAUUUUUCUGACCAUCUCUAGUCACCGCCGCAAUUGCAUGGACCCAAAUGGUAUACUUUCUGGGUGCAAUUUUAUCCCUGGCUUU